UACGGAGGAUGCGAGCGUUAUCCGGAUUUAUUGGGUUUAAAGGGUGCGUAGGUGGGCUGUUAAGUCCGCGGUGAAAGUUUGUCGCUUAACGAUAAAAUUGCCGUUGAAACUGGUAGUCUUGAGUAUAGAUGAAGUAGGCGGAAUGCGUGGUGUAGCGGUGAAAUGCAUAGAGAUCACGCAGAACUCCAAUUGCGAAGGCAGCUUACUAAGGCAUAACUGACACUGAAGCACGAAAGCGUGGGUAUCAAACAGG
rnacentral:rRNA from 1 species